GGGGAUGAAGCUCAAUGGUAGAGCAUAGGCUUUGCAUGUAUGAAGCCCCUGGCUUGAUCCCUGGCAUUUCCA
rnacentral:tRNA from 1 species